UACGUAGGGGGCAAGCGUUGUCCGGAAUCAUUGGGCGUAAAGCGCGUGUAGGCGGCUUGGUAAGUCCGCUCUGAAAGCCCCGGGGCUCAACCCCGGGAGGCGGGUGGAUACUGUCAAGCUCGAGUCCGGAAGAGGCGAGUGGAAUUCCUGGUGUAGCGGUGAAAUGCGCAGAUAUCGGGAGGAACACCGGUGGCGAAGGCGGUUCUCUGGGCCAGCACUGACG
rnacentral:rRNA from 1 species